GCACCAGUGGUGGAAUGGCAGACACGUACGCUUGAGGGGCGUAUGAAGAGAUUCGUGCAGGUUCAAGUCCUGUCUGGUGCA
rnacentral:tRNA from 1 species